CCCCCCCCCCCCCCGUAUCCUUUCUAUUUCCUUCAUCCUUUCUGUCCUUUCCAUCCUCAAUUCUUUUUCUUUCACUUUUUCCCUCUAUUCUUUCUCAACUUUUCUUCUUCCAUUCUCUCCUCUUUUCCUCCCUUACUUCUUUCCUUCCUCCGGUCUCUUCCUUAUUCUUUCUAUUUCCUUCAUCCUUUCUAUUCUUUCUUUCCAUUCCUCCUUCUCUCCUUCCCUCUCUUCUAUCUCUUCCUUACAACCAUUCCUUUCUCCCUUCUUUCAAUUCCUCUCUCCUUCCUGUUCUUUCUCUCCAUUCUUCCCUCAUUCCUUUCUCCCUCCUUUCAAUUCCUCUCUCCUUCCUAUUCUUUCUCUCCAUUCCUCCCUCUUUCCCUCCCUCUCUUCUAUCUCUUCCUUACAACCAUUCCUUCUUCCCUCCUCUCUAUUCCUCUCUUUCUUAGCGUUCCUCCUUGUUCUUUCCUUUUUCUGUUUUCCUCAUUUAUAUUCCUUCCCUUAACCAUCCCUUUUAUUUACCCUUCUCCCCUUUCCAUCCAGCCCUUCAUAUAUUCCCUUUCUAUUUUUUUGGUGAUCUCUUCUAGUUUCUCUCCCCCCUUCCCUUUCCUUCCCUUCCUUUACCAGUAUUACCCUUCUCUUCCCAUCCCUUUUCUUCCCCUUUCCUUUCCUUUCCUUUCCUUUCCGAUCUCUUCCUUGCUCAUUCAUUCCCUUCCCUUCGUUUCCUUCCCUUCCUUUACCAGUAUUUCCCCUUCUCUUCCCAUCCCUUUACUUCCCCUUUCUUUUUCUUUCCUUCCUCGUUCACAGUUCUUCCUUUCCGAUCUCUUCCCUUCUCAUGCAUUCCCUUCCUUUCCUUCCCUUCCUUUACCAGUGCUUCCCUUCUUUUCCCAUCCCUUUUCUUCCCAUUCUUUUUCUUUCCUUUCUCUCACAGUUCUUCCUUUCCGUCGCUUCCCUUCUCAUUCAUUCCCUUCCUUUCCUUCCCUUCCUCUACCAGUGUUCCCCUUCUCCUCCCAUCCCUUUUCUUCCUAUUCUUUUUCUUUCCUUCCUCGUUCACAGUUCUUCAUUUCCGAUCUCUUCCCUUCUCAUUCAUUUCCUUCCCCUCCUUUCCUUCCCUUCCUCUAUCAGUGUUCCCCUUCUCUCCCCAUCCCUUUUUUCCCCUUCUUUUUCUUUUCUUCCUCUCUCACAGUUCUUCCUUUCCGAUCUCUUCCUUUCUCAUUCCUUCCCUUCCUUCCCUUCUUCCUUCCCAACCCUUCCAUUCCUCCAUCUCUCUCCCUCCUGUACUUUACAACUAAAAUGAUUGAAGUGUUGAUGUUGCUGUCGCGUUCAAUGGUUUCAUAUGCUCAACAGGAUAAUUAUGAUGUUAUGCCCCUCCCCUCCCCUCCUUCCCUCUCCCUUCCCUUCCCUUCCCAACCCUUCUUCCCUUUGUAACCAUAUACGAGGAAAACUUAAACAAUUAAACUUGCAUCCUCUAGAAAAGACUUGACCGAAAAAUGUAUCUGUUUCCGCUACCCUCCUUGUUAGUGUUUGUCCUGUCAGAUGUUUACGACUGUUGUAUAUCUGUUACCCUCCUUGUUAGUGUUUGUCCUGUCAGAUGUUUACGACUGUUGUAUAUCUGUUACCCUCCUUGUUAGUGUUUGUCCUGUCAGAUGUUUACGACUGUUGUAUAUCUGUUACCCUCCUGUUAGUGUUUGUCCUAUCAGAUGUUUACGACUGUUGUAUAUCUGUUACCCUCCUGUUAGUGUUUGUCCUAUCAGAUGUUUACGACUGUUGUAUAUCUGUUACCCUCCCUGUUAGUGUUUGUCCUGUCAGAUGUUUACGACUGUUGUAUAUCUGUUACCCUCCUGUUAGUGUUUGUCCUGUCAGGUGCUUACGACUGUUCUGUUAUGGUCAUUCCUCUGUUUGUUCGUCUUCUGGGUCCCGACAAAGGGAGAUAUUGAUAAGGUCCUUUCCGAUCUCUUUCCCUUCUCAUUCAUUCCCUUCCUUUCCUUCCCUUCUUCCUUCCCAAGCCUUCCAUCCCUCCAUCUCUUUCCCUCCUGUACUUUAUAACUAAAAUGACUGCGGGGCUUUAAUAAGGGAGCUAUUGAUAAGGUCCUUUCCGAUCUCUUUCCCUUCUCAUUCAUUCCCUUCCCUUCUUUUCCUUCUUCCUUCCCAAGCCUUCCAUCCCUCCA